UCAGCACGUCACGCGAGUUGGUUGGGACGCUCCCUCGUGCCCCGCCCCGCCUGGGAAACAUUUCUUAAGUUGCCCUGGAAACGAGGACAUCAUUAGUGCGGGAGUUUGACCGACAGGAGGGAGCCAGUGUAGCCUUGCCGCGCGUCCACCGCCGUCACUCAACUCUCAAUAGAACAAGAUGGGGGAGCACCAGGGAGGCGUGGUGGCGCUAGUGGUGGUGAACUUCUUGAUCUUCUGCGGCACUGUAGCCCUCAACCAACUCUCAGCCUUCCCGCAGUUCGCUGGUGGCCUGUUUAUUAGACGUCAGGAACCCGAUGUCUUGUAUGGCCUGGGCGUUCAGUCUCCAGGUAUCUUCAACUCCACGCCGGGCGAAAUGUCAGCCAGGUAUGAGAUCGACGUGACCCCGGCUGGCUUCACCUUCCUCGUGUGGUCUGUCAUCUACGUGUGGCUCCUGCUGGCUCAUCUCUAUGCUCUGAUCCUCCUGUGUCGCCGUAACGCAGUCGGCCCUGUCUAUGUGAGUCCUGGAGUUCUCACCACUGGUUUCCUCGUUACCUACACCCUCAAUCUACUGGCUAACAUUGCCUGGCUCUUCCUGUGGGACAACGAGCUCAUCAUCUACGCGUCGGCUGUCCUGUGGUUCAUCUGCCUCACCAACUGGAUCGCUCUCGGCAUCCUGCAUGGAAAUGUGCACAGCCAUGGCCCGUGGAUGUGCCGCCACGCCAAGGUGGAUUUGUGGAUGUACCGCAUUCUGUGGCACAACGGCAUGGCCACCUACACCACCUGGACCACCAUUGCUGCCCUGCUCAACCUCGGCAUCGCCCUCAGCUACGAGGCGGGACUGGACAUGCAGAUCGUGGUGUACGUGGUCCUGGGAUCGCUCUCCGGCAUCAUGGUUCUCUGGUUCCUGCUGGAGAACACUGUGUUGGAUCGUUUCGUGCGCUACACCAUCACCCCUUACGCUGUUGUGGUGCUGGCCAUGGCGGGGAUCUACGUGAAGCAGUACGCUUCAGCCACCAUGGAGACCGGCUACUUCAUCGUGGUGCUGCUGGGCGUGUCGGUGUUCUGCCUUGUGGCUCGCCUCGGCCUGGUCAUCGUGCGGGGCGUCAAGAGUCCCCUGUACGUGAACAACAAAGUGGGAGACGACCCCGUGCUGAGCUUCGCCGCCUGAUACUGGGGCUACGUGGACACCUCCUCCCCGUCCUCGGCCUCCUCGCACCUCCUCGCCACCUACACCAGCCUGUGAAGAGAGAGAGAGAGAGAGAGAGAGAGAGAGAGAGAGAGAGAGAGAGUGGGCAAGGCUGCGGCCAACAUCAGCCCGCCGCCAGCGCCUAGUAAGUCUGUGGCUAUGAGGGAAGCGGAGUGUCGUUAUUUGGUUUCGUGAAGAAGCGAUUGUCUGCAGUAGAAAGAGAGAAAAAUACUUCUA
rnacentral:misc_RNA from 1 species